UUCCAGACUCCUACGGGAGGCAGCAGUGGGGAAUAUUGCACAAUGGGGGAAACCCUGAUGCAGCGACGCCGCGUGAGCGAUGAAGUAUUUCGGUAUGUAAAGCUCUAUCAGCAGGGAAGAAGAUGACGGUACCUGACUAAGAAGCCCCGGCUAACUACGUGCCAGCAGCCGCGGUAAUACGUAGGGGGCAAGCGUUAUCCGGAUUUACUGGGUGUAAAGGGAGCGUAGACGGCGGCGCAAGCCAGAUGUGAAAGCCCGGGGCUCAACUCCGGGACUGCAUUUGGAACUGUGUGGCUGGAGUGUCGGAGAGGCAGGCGGAAUUCCUAGUGUAGCGGUGAAAUGCGUAGAUAUUAGGAGGAACACCAGUGGCGAAGGCGGCCUGCUGGACGAUGACUGACGUUGAGGCUCGAAAGCGUGGGGAGCAAACAGGAUUAGAUACCCUAGUAC
rnacentral:rRNA from 1 species